GNCGAGCGAGCGGGAANNNNNCNAAUUUAUAAUCUGGCACCUUCGGUGUCCGAGUUGUAAUCUCUAGAAGUGUUUUCCGCGUUGGACCGCACACAAGUCUGUUGGAAUACAGCGGCAUAGUGGUGAAACCCCCGUAUAUGGUGCGGACGCCCAGCGCUUUGUGAUACACUUUCAAUGAGUCGAGUUGUUUGGGAAUGCAGCUCAAAUUGGGUGGUAAAUUCCAUCUAAAGCUAAAUAUUGGCGAGAGACCGAUAGCGAACAAGUACCGUGAGGGAAAGAUGAAAAGNNNNUUGGAAAGAGAGUUAACAGUACGUGAAAUUGUUGGAAGGGAAACGCUUGAAGUCAGACUUGCUUGCCGGAGCUUGCUUCGGUUUGCAGGCCAGCAUCAGUUUUCCGGGGUGGAUAAUGACGGUUUGAAGGUAGCAGUCUCGGCUGUGUUAUAGCUUUCCGUUGGAUACAUCCUGGGGGACUGAGGAACGCAGCGUGCUUUUUGCGAAAGACUCGUCUUUUUCACGCUUAGGAUGCUGGUGGAAUGGCUUUAAACNANCCGUCUUGAAACACGANNCA
rnacentral:rRNA from 1 species